AGGCAAGCACUCUUGCCACUAGGCCAUAUUCCCAGCCCAGAAAAGUUACUUUGAAAUGGCACUUGAAAUUGGGACAGUUUACCCAGUAGUAAUCAAGUAAUCUACCUGGCUUUGUGACCUGAGGACUGACCCCUGGACACAACUUCUCUCUGUCCCAACUUCUGGCUGGACUGCAUUGAGAAGUUAUUCUUUCUUCAUACUAACAAAGUUUCCUAACUGUACUCUCUGUUCUUCUGCUAGAGUGAGACAAUUCCUUUGGGGGUUUUCUUGGCUCCAGCCUUGAGAUUUCAUGGUAUAGAUGACAAACAGAGUAGCAAAUGUUGUCUAAAUCAUCUGUUAGGAAUGCAACCCUCACUGGUAAUGAGAUGCUUUAGACAUUUUAUGUUAUGAAAGUUAACCCAGUUGUACUAGCUAGCCUUGAAAGUCUUUCAAUGCAGUCCUUAUGGUUGUGGUUUGGGUCCAUGCUUUGCAUUCCAAUGGUUUCCCUUUUGUAUGGGAGCUAAGGGUGUUUCCCAUUUUCCCACCAAGCUUCAUUUCUUUAAAAGAAAACGUGAAACUCAUUCAUUACUCUUUAGAUUGUAGUAGGUUCACAGUAUUUGCAUUAUGGUCAUCAAAGCAUUUGGGUAAAACUUACUUCUUGGUAUUUGUCUCCAAAUACCAGAAAUUCACUUGGUAGUUAAGGGAGCCAUAUGAGAGUCAGCACGCUCUUGUCUUUGCUGCUUUGGCUCGUGGCAUAUGUAUCAUGCAAACAGUAC